GGUGAACGCUGACAGAAUGCUUAACACAUGCAAGUCAACUUGAAUUUGGGUUUUUAACUUAGGUUUGGGUGGCGGACGGGUGAGUAACGCGUAAAGAACUUGCCUCACAGCUAGGGACAACAUUUGGAAACGAAUGCUAAUACCUAAUAUUAUGAUAAUAGGGCAUCCUAUAAUUAUGAAAGCUAUAAGCGCUGUGAGAGAGCUUUGCGUCCCAUUAGCUAGUUGGAGAGGUAACGGCUCACCAAGGCGAUGAUGGGUAGCCGGCCUGAGAGGGUGAUCGGCCACAAGGGGACUGAGACACGGCCCUUACUCCUACGGGAGGCAGCAGUGGGGAAUAUUGGACAAUGGACCGAGAGUCUGAUCCAGCAAUUCUGUGUGCACGAUGAAGUUUUUCGGAAUGUAAAGUGCUUUCAGUUGGGAAGAAACAAAUGACGGUACCAACAGAAGAAGUGACGGCUAAAUACGUG
rnacentral:rRNA from 1 species